rnacentral:rRNA from 1 species
UACGGGGGGUGCGAGCGUUGUCCGGAAUCACUGGGCGUAAAGGGCGCGUAGGUGGUCUUGUAAGGGUGUGGUGAAAGCCCGGGGCUCAACCCCCGGGUCGGCCGUGCCGACUGCGAGACUAGAGUGCUGUAGGGGCAGGCGGAAUUCCGGGUGUAGCGGUGGAAUGCGUAGAGAUCCGGAGGAAGACCGGUGGCGAAGGCGGCCUGCUGGGCAGAUACUGACACUGAGGCGCGACAGCGUGGGGAGCAAACAGG